rnacentral:lncRNA from 1 species
AGAAACUAAAAUCUUCAAAGUCUCCACUCUAUACUUCAUGGAAACUCUCUUGUCAGGAACUCCCUCCUACAAAUCCAGACAUGUGGAAGUUCAGCACAGGAAGUCAGUCUGCCAUGGCUCCAGGCACUGUUAAUCACUUUAAAAUGAUCAUUAAAAAGCAGCAGCAGCAAAAGGAUGCAGCUCUGGUGAGGUCUGGAUCUCCACUGUUUCUGCAGGAACUGAGCCCUACAUUACCUCCUUUCCCACCUCCCCAGAAAAUAACCUCCACUCUAGCAAGGAGGAGAGGAUGAAUGUAGACAAAACAUUUUCACACUAGAGAAAUGCAGAUCCUUUGCCUUCAGUCCACUUGGAGGCAAAGGCUUCGGAGGCUGCCUGUCACCACUCUGGAGCCUGUGCCGCCUGGACCAGUGUCUCAAGGGGAUGCUCUGUGCCCAGGACCCAGUUCCUUCAGUGAUCUUGCUCUAGAGCUCUGUUUUUGCACCCAUGCAAGGGGACAUGAAAGAGAAGAUGAUAUCAGAGCAGAAAAAGCCUUUUGAGUUGGUGAAUAUUUGGUGUUCCUUCAAAUGACGUUUGGAUAUCAAUAAACAAACGGGAAGGAAUACA